GCAAACUUGGUCAUUUAGAGGAAGUAAAAGUCGUAACAAGGUUUCCGUAGGUGAACCUGCGGAAGGAUCAUUAUUGAACACAAAAUUAAGCAGACUGCUGCUGGUUCUUUGGAGCAUGUGCACGUCUGCUUUAUUUUAAACAUUCCACCCGUGCACUGCCGGUAGACCUUUUCAAAGCAGUAGUCUUUCAAACUUGUACAAGUUUGGCUAAGAGAAACUAGCUGUACUUCUUUUUUUGAUGUGCAGCUUUCUUUCUUGAAAAAUUGUUUUUGAAAUGGGUUUACUGUAUAUUUAUUUAUCACACCGUAUGAAUGGUUCAGAAUGUUGAUGAUAAAAAUAGACCUUCGCGUCUUUGAAAAAUCAAAUAACUUUCAACAACGGAUCUCUUGGCUCUCGCAUCGAUGAAGAACGCAGC
rnacentral:misc_RNA from 1 species